rnacentral:lncRNA from 1 species
UUUUCAAAUAGUUUUUGUCAAAAAUGAAAGUGGCCGCAUCCGUGUUCAUCCUCAACCUUUAUAUAUGUUAUGUAUUAUCGUCAAAUACAACUUACAUUUCAGUAUUAUAAAUGAACACGAAUGCGGCCACUUUCAUUUAGGACGGAAACCAUCUAAAAUUUAACUAAAAUGCUAAAAUUGUGAAGAUUUCGGUAAUUUAGCAUGACUUUAUGAUGCUAGUACCCGAUAUAUG